rnacentral:ncRNA from 2 species
UUCAUUGCGGUCCCCGUCGGUUUCGCGUAGGCUGCCGAGCACGUUGAAUCUGGUGCGAUUCCAGAGCUGUCCCGCAACGGUGUGACGAUUGCCUCGUCGAGCCCGACCUUCGCUAUUUUUGACAA